CCUUCGAUAGCUCAGUUGGUAGAGCGGUGGACUGUAGUUGAUGAAAAGUUGAUUCAAAAGAAAUCCAUAGGUCGCUGGUUCAAAUCCGGCUCGAAGGA
rnacentral:tRNA from 1 species